rnacentral:lncRNA from 1 species
GAUGCUGACUGCUGGCUGCUGGCUCUGCUGGGUUAUCGGCAAAAUAGGGUGGCACACUACGCGUGUGCUAGAUGAUCAUGAUUCACAUAUGGCACCCAUAGGAUGAGAGAAAUAAUGACGAGGAAACCGUCGGACACCGUGCUUUUGCAAAAGUACAAACGAAACAUUCGAAAUCACGAAGAACGAUUUAUACCAUCAUUUCGACGAAAAAAAGAUAUUCC